GCGAAGGAGUCAGGUGCAGGACACAGGCGAAGGAGUCAGGUGCAGGACACAGGCGAAGGAGUCAGGUGCAGGACACAGGCGAAGGAGUCAGGUGCAGGACACAGGUGCAGGACACAGGCAAAGGAGUCAGGUGCAGGACACAGGUGCAGGACACAGGUGCAGGACACAGGCGAAGUAGUCAGGUGCAGGACACAGGUGCAGGACACAGGUGCAGGACACAGGCGCAGGACACAGGCGAAGGACACAGGCGAAGGAGUCAGGUGCAGGACACAGGCGAAGGAGUCAGGUGCAGGACACAGGCGAAGGAGUCAGGUGCAGGACACAGGCGAAGGAGACAGGUGAAGGAGACAGGUGCAGGACACAGGCGAAGGAGUCAGGUGCAAGACACAGGCGAAG
ensembl:lncRNA